AUGGAGAUUUUCGAGCAUUUCAGAGAAGUUGAUUGCUAUUAUAAUAUCUCCAUUGCUUAUCGCAUCUUAUUUAUUGUGCCCGUCACGGUCGCAUCGACCGAAAGAAGUUUUUCAAAGUUAAAAUUAUUUAAGAAUUAUUUGAGGUCAACAAUGACUCAGGAGAGGCUAAAUGGCUUUCCUGCAUUUUGCAUCGAGAAGAAAUUAUUGGAUGAGAUUGACAUCGACCCUAUCAUAAGUGACUUUGCAUCAAGGAAUGUAGAAGAAAGUUUUAAGGUAAUGUGUAUAAAUUAUUUGAUUCAAAUAGUAAUUUUGAAUUCAUUUAAUUGCUAUUGA
rnacentral:rRNA from 1 species